UCCCUGGUGGUCCAGUCGGUAGGACUCCGCACUCCCAGUGCAGAGGGCCCGGGUUCGAGCCCCGGUCAGGGAA